CCUACGGGGGGCUGCAGUGGGGAAUUUUGGACAAUGGGCGAAAGCCUGAUCCAGCAAUGCCGCGUGAGUGAAGAAGGCCUUCGGGUUGUAAAGCUCUUUCAGUUGAGAAGAAAAGAUUCCGGCUAAUAACUAGAAUUCAUGACGGUAUCAACAGAAGAAGCACCGGCUAACUACGUGCCAGCAGCCGCGGUAAUACGUAGGGUGCAAGCGUUAAUCGGAAUUACUGGGCGUAAAGGGUGCGCAGGUGGUUUUGUAAGUCAGAUGUGAAAUCCCCGGGCUUAACCUGGGAAUUGCGUUUGAAACUACAGGACUAGAGUGUGGCAGAGGGGGGUGGAAUUCCAUGUGUAGCAGUGAAAUGCGUAGAGAUAUGGAAGAACAUCGAUGGCGAAGGCAGCCCCCUGGGUUAACACUGACACUCAUGCACGAAAGCGUGGGGAGCAAACAGGAUUAGAUACCCGGGUAGUC
rnacentral:rRNA from 1 species